UCCACCCAGACUUAAUCAGCUGCACUUUUGCCAUGUUUCUGGGUAAAACUAAAUGAAAGCAGAACACGCACUAUACUUAAUUCUCCCCAGACAGUGGUUUACUGGGAGCCUGAACAGAACAUGAAGAUGGAACAGCUGGAAAGCAGAAGAGUCACCAAGCUAGGAACCAUGUAUUCUGUCCACUUUCUUGUCCGCACCAGAAGAUACUGAUAACUGGAAUCCAGCACCAAGCUAUGCAAAAUCCUGCAAUCCACAGAGAUUAUGGAGGAAAUGGGCUUAGGGACACAACACUAAGAAACUUCACUGGGGACACAUUAAAAAAAGAAGGUCAUGUAUUCAUUUUGAACGUGUUAGAAUGGACCUGGGAGGUCAUCCAGUUUAAUUUACCAAAAUGGAAACUGAGGGUCAGAGAAAAUGAAGGGGCUUGCCCAAAGAUGUACCAGUAGUAAAUAAAUGGUGGAGCCAGGAUUUUUAUUCUGUGUUCUGGCUUUAUCUUUGGAGUAUUGAAUGUGAGCAGCUCUUAUAAUGUA